AUUGAACGCCGGCGGCAUGCUUUACACAUGCAAGUCGAACGGUAACAGGCCGCAAGGUGCUGACGAGUGGCGAACGGGUGAGUAAUGCAUCGGAACGUGCCCAAUCGUGGGGGAUAACGCAGCGAAAGCUGCGCUAAUACCGCAUACGAUCUCUGGAUGAAAGCGGGGGACCGAAAGGCCUCGCGCGAUUGGAGCGGCCGAUGACAUUUUAGGUAGUUGGUGGGGUAAAGGCCCACCAAGCCAACCAUCUGUAGCUGGUCUGAGAGGACGACCAGCCACACUGGGACUGAGACACGGCCCAGACUCCUACGGGAGGCAGCAGUGGGGAAUUUUGGACAAUGGGCGCAAGCCUGAUCCAGCAAUGCCGCGUGCAGGAAGAAGGCCUUCGGGUUGUAAACUGCUUUUGUACGGGACGAAACGGUCCGGGUUAAUACCCUGGGCUAAUGACGGUACCGUAAGAAUAAGCACCGGCUAACUACGUGCCAGCAGCCGCCGUAAUAC
rnacentral:rRNA from 1 species